rnacentral:lncRNA from 1 species
GAGGGUAGAAAAGACUCCAGGGUCAGACAUUCAGCUGACCAGACACAGUUAUUGGCUGCCCAUUGGAACGCCCUUUGGCAUCCCUCCUGGCCUCCAGCUGCUGCUCCAGAGGUUGACAAAUCUCCGCGUUUGAGCAUCCAUCUGAUUCAGAGAAUAAUGCUGGAAUUUGGCUUUCUGAGGAGGUAUCCUGCAGCUGGCAUCUGUCCAGGCGUCUUCAAUGAACCACUCAUUCCGAAUAAAUUUAAUCACCCUCUUCAGAGUUUUCGGUUUUGCUUAAUUUGUAUAAAUAACUUGCACCUCUAAUUAGCUUCCACUUCGUAUCAAAUACAAUAAUUGAGAUAAUUUUGUCA